UUUGUACUCCCUCCAUCCCAAAAUUCUUGUCUUAAAUUUGUCUAAAUAUGGAUGUAUCUAGUUACAUUUUAGUGUUAGAUACAUCCGUAUCUAAACAAAUGUAAGACAAGAAUUUUGGGACGGAGGGAAUACUAC
rfam:Triticum aestivum genome assembly, contig: Triticum_aestivum_CS42_TGACv1_scaffold_133633_2BL